AGGGUCUAACUGUCUCCUCUCUACCCUACAAAACUUCUCUGGUGGUGCAAAAGCCGCCAUAUAAGCGCCAGACGAGAAGACCCUAUCGAGCUUAAAAACCAGAAAGAAUGGACUUCAUUAAAGCAGGAAACCUCCUUCUUUUCCCACUUUCUUUUACGUUUUUUGGUUGGGGCAACCGCGGAGACUACUCAACCUCCGCACUGAAAUCUUAAGACUUCGAGUCAAAAACGGAAAAGUGAUCCGGUACACCCGAACAAUGAAAAAAGUUACCGUAGGGAUAACAGCGUAAUCCCUCCUGAGAGCCCACAUUGACGGAGGGGCUUGCGACCUCGAUGUUGGAUCGGGAAACCCUGAUGGUGCAGCCGCUAUCAAAGGUUGGUCUGUUCGACCAUUAAAACCCC
rnacentral:rRNA from 1 species